AGAGUUUGAUCCUGGCUCAGAUUGAACGCUGGCGGCAUGCCUUACACAUGCAAGUCGAACGGUAGCGGGCCUUCGGGUGCCGACGAGUGGCGAACGGGUGAGUAAUGUAUCGGAACGUACCUUUCAGUGGGGGGUAACGUAGCGAAAGUUACGCUAAUACCGCAUAUUCUGUGAGCAGGAAAGCAGGGGAUCGCAAGACCUUGCGCUGAUUGAGCGGCCGAUAUCAGAUUAGCUAGUUGGUGAGGUAAAGGCUCACCAAGGCGACGAUCUGUAGCGGGUCUGAGAGGAUGAUCCGCCACACUGGAACUGAGACACGGUCCAGACUCCUACGGGAGGCAGCAGUGGGGAAUUUUGGACAAUGGGGGCAACCCUGAUCCAGCCAUGCCGCGUGAGUGAAGAAGGCCUUCGGGUUGUAAAGCUCUUUCGGCCGGGAAGAAAUCGCAUGGGUUAAUACCCUGUGCGGAUGACGGUACCGGCAUAA
rnacentral:rRNA from 1 species